rnacentral:rRNA from 1 species
GAUGAACGCUGGCGGCGUGCCUAAUACAUGCAAGUCGAGCGAACGGACGAGAAGCUUGCUUCUCUGAUGUUAGCGGCGGACGGGUGAGUAACACGUGGAUAACCUACCUAUAAGACUGGGAUAACUUCGGGAAACCGGAGCUAAUACCGGAUAAUAUUUUGAACCGCAUGGUUCAAAAGUGAAAGACGGUCUUGCUGUCACUUAUAGAUGGAUCCGCGCUGCAUUAGCUAGUUGGUAAGGUAACGGCUUACCAAGGCAACGAUGCGUAGCCGACCUGAGAGGAGGAUCGGCCACACUGGAACGGAGACACGGUCAAGACUCCUACGGGAGGCAGCAGUAGGGAAUCUUCCGCAAUGGGCGAAAGCUUGACGGAGCACCGCCGCGGGAGUGAUGAAGGUCUUCGGAUCGUAAAACUCUGUUAUUAGGGAAGAACAUAUGUGUAAGUAACUGUGCGCAUCUUGACGGUACCUAAUCAGAAAGCCACGGCUAACUACGUG